rnacentral:rRNA from 1 species
GACGAACGCUGGCGGCGUGCUUAACACAUGCAAGUCGAACGGAAAGGCCCUGCUUUCGUGGGGUGCUCGAGUGGCGAACGGGUGAGUAACACGUGAGUAACCUGCCCUUGACUUUGGGAUAACUUCAGGAAACUGGGGCUAAUACCGGAUAGGAGCUCCUGCUGCAUGGUGGGGGUUGGAAAGUUUCGGCGGGUGGGGAUGGACUCGCGGCUUAUCAGCUUGUUGGUGGGGUAGUGGCUUACCAAGGCUUUGACGGGUAGCCGGCCUGAGAGGGUGACCGGCCACAUUGGGACUGCGAUACGGCCCAGUCUCCUACGGGAGGCAGCAGUGGGGAAUAUUGCACAAUGGGCGGGAGCCUGAUGCAGCAACGCCGCGUGCGGGAUGACGGCCUUCGGGUUGUAAACCGCUUUCGCCUGUGACGAAGCGUGAGUGACGGUAAUGGGUAAAGAAGCACCGGCUAACUACGUG